rnacentral:rRNA from 1 species
GACGAACGCUGGCGGCGUGCCUAACACAUGCAAGUCAACUUGAGGGAAGGAGCAAUCUGACCUGAUGGUGGCGCAAGGGUGCGUAACGCGUAAGUAACUUGCCCAAGGUAAGGAAUAACGUCGAGAAAUCGGCGCUAAUACCUCAUAAUGCAGCGGAUCCGCAUGGAUAUGUUGUUAAAGGUUUACCGCCUUGGGAUAGGCUUGCGUCUGAUUAGCUAGUUGGUGUGGUAAUGGCACACCAAGGCUACGAUCAGUAAACUGGUCUGAGAGGAUGAUCAGUCACACUGGAACUGAGACACGGUCCAGACUCCUACGGGAGGCAGCAG